CCUACGGGUGGCAGCAGUAGGGAAUAUUGCACAAUGGGCGAAAGCCUGAUGCAGCAACGCCGCGUGCGCGAUGAAGGCCUUCGGGUCGUAAAGCGCUUUUCGGGGAGAUGAGGAAGGACAGUAUCCCCGGAAUAAGGAUCGGCUAACUACGUGCCAGCAGCCGCGGUAAAACGUAGGAUCCGAGCGUUAUCCGAAUUUACUGGGCGUAAAGCGCGUGCAGGCGGUUCGGUAAGUUGGGUGUGAAAUCUCCCGGCUCAACUGGGAGAGGUCGCUCAAUACUGUCGGACUAGAGGAUGGUAGAGGGAGGUGAAAUUCCCGGUGUAGCGGUGAAAUGCGUAGAGAUCGGGAGGAACACCGGUGGCGUAGGCGGCGUCCUGGCCGACACCUGACGCUGAAGCGCGAAAGCGUGGGGAGCGAACGGGAUUAGAUCCCCGGGUAGU
rnacentral:rRNA from 1 species